rnacentral:rRNA from 1 species
CAGCUUGUUGGUGGGGUGAUGGCCUACCAAGGCGACGACGGGUAGCCGGCCUGAGAGGGCGACCGGCCACACUGGGACUGAGACACGGCCCAGACUCCUACGGGAGGCAGCAGUGGGGAAUAUUGCACAAUGGGCGGAAGCCUGAUGCAGCGACGCCGCGUGAGGGAUGACGGCCUUCGGGUUGUAAACCUCUCUCAGCAGGGACGAAGCGUAAGUGACGGUACCUGCAGAAGAAGCGCCGGCCAACUACGUGCCAGCAGCCGCGGUAAGACGUAGGGCGCGAGCGUUGUCCGGAUUUAUUGGGCGUAAAGAGCUCGUAGGCGGCCUGUUGCGUCGUCCGUGAAAACCUGUGGCUCAACUACAGGCUUGCGGACGAUACGGGCGGGCUAGAGUUCGGUAGGGGAGACUGGAAUUCCUGGUGUAGCGGUGAAAUGCGCAGAUAUCAGGAGGAACACCGGUGGCGAAGGCGGGUCUCUGGGCCGAUACUGACGCUGAGGAGCGAAAGCGUGGGGAGCGAACAGGAUUAGAUACCCUGGUAGUCCACGCUGUAAACGUUGGGCGCUAGGUGUGGGGGGCCUCUCCGGUUCCCUGUGCCGCAGCUAACGCAUUAAGCGCCCCGCCUGGGGAGUACGGC